AGAGAGGGCGCAAUAUGCACUUCCGGCAUUAUUGUUGAGAAUAAACAGCGGGUAAAAUGGAUUUUGACGAGAUUCUCUCCGAGGAUGAGGAAGACUAUCUUGAUUUAUUGUUGACUGGAGGAUUGUCCGAAGAAGCAGAUGACCAAGAUGAAACUUUUGAACCAUCAAAUUCCUUGCAAAUUGGACAUCCCCCAUCACAGACAAGUUCUCAGACUCUGUCCCAGACUACAGAUAGCUCUGCUUCUCAGGAUCCACUUGCAGAACAUAUAUACUGGAGAGAUCAGAAUGACAUUGAUGAGGGAAUGAGGGACUCCCGGCUGUUUUCCUUGAGGCCAUGUCUUCCUCCUGGUAUUCAGCUUGGUUUUUUAACCAGACAGACAGUCAGAGUAUGCCAAAAGCCAGUUGAUUUUUUCCUUCUGUUCCUGACUCAAGAAAUAAUGCUAGAGAUUUGUAUUGCCACCAACCAUCAUGCAGAAACUUUGAUUUCUAAGGGCCAAAAUCUUUCAUAUGCCAACAGCAUGGGGGCAUGGACAAGGGUCACUGUUGAAGAGAUGUACAGGUUUGUGGAAAUUUUGAUAUACAUGUCUGUGGUCAAUCUCCAAACUUUAGAGAGAUAUUGGUCAACUUGUCUAUUGUACAACAACAACACGGUCUCAGCUGUCAUGAGCAUCACAAGAUUUAAGGCUAUUUUGUCUUUUCUGCAGAUCAAUGCUGACACUAAUAAAGAUGACAAGCUGACAAGAGUGCGUAGUCUUUUGAAACAUGUGGAAUCCAUAUCACAGUCAUUGUUUCAGCCAUACGAGUCUGUGUCUGUAGAUGAACGGAUGGUAGCAUCAAAGCAUCACUACUAGGGGAUCCGACAAUUUAUCCGUGACAAACCAAUACGGUUUGGCCUGAAGUUGUUGGUACUAGCAGAUUCCAUUACUGGUUAUACAUAUGCAUUUUUUGUAUACCUUGGGAAAAAGAGAACAGAGCUGAAUAACAGAACCAAAGGGCUGGCAUACAAUGUAGUGAUGGAACUGAGCAAGAAACUUGUCAACCAGGGAUAUAGAAUUUAUACUGAUUCUUUCUACACCACCCAACAUUUGGCUACAGAUCUCUUACAGAAGAAAACAUAUCUGAUAGGUGCUGUUAAAAGAACAAGUAGUGCUAUGCCCCAAUGCUUGAAAGAUAUUGAACUCUUUGAAAAGGUGUCCUCACGUGGAGAUUUUCGAUGGCAUAGGGAAGGUGACUUUGUCUACGUACAGUGGAGAGACUGCAAAACUGUAACCAUUAUUUCUCCUAUCCAUAAAGGUUCUUCAAUUGGACAGUGCCAACGAACUGUAAAUGAACGUUCAGGCUACAAGAAAAAAGUGAUUUCGCAGCCAUUGAUUGUUCAGGACUACAAUACCAAUAUGAGAGGUGUUGACAAAUCCAGCCAAAUGUUAAACAAGUAUCCAUGCUACAUCAAAUCAAUCUUUCAUUGGUGGAAAGUGUUGUUUUUUCACAGCAUAGACAUUAUGGUUGUGAAUUCUUACAUCAUUCUUAAGGAAUUUAUGAAGGACAAAGUCAAUGAAAGUUCAGUUCAUGGAGUUUCAGCAAGCUUUGGCCAGCUUGAGUAUCGUUAAAGUCUUGCCAUGUCAUUAAUGGGUUUGAAUUUGAACCGCCAACUUGCACCCAUUCCUAAACCUAGUGUUGACCAGUGCUUGCCGAUGAUCUCAGAAAACCGGAGAGACUGUAUGUGCUGCAAUGGUGAAGCAUCAAUGCUAGGACAGAAAGUUCCAAGUACCAAGACCCACUAUUACUGUUCGAAAUGUGAAGUGCCACUUUGUCUUCAGAGAGAAAGAAACUGUUUUCUAAAGUGGCAUUCUCCAGAAGGGAAAGUUAUUCAAGAUUGGGCAAGGACAAAGGGCAGAAAAAGGAAACUUUGAACUUUGAUAUGUUAUUAUUUUGGAAAUUCAGACAUUAAGAAUUGUUGUUCUCUGUGUUACCAAUAAGCAAGAGAGAUUUCAAGUAUAUGUAUAUGAUUUUAGAUCUUCAGUGCAACUCCAAAUGUAAGCAUUGUUUGUCAGUUACACAUUAAGAUUUAUUUCAAGUAUUUAUGUUAAUUGUGUUAAUUUGUUUUUGACUUUAUGUAGAAUGAUAAAAACUGAUAGCCUUC
rnacentral:sRNA from 1 species